CAUGGCCUCAGCCUGCUCAAGAAUCGGCUCCGUGCUCGCACCGGUCAUCGCCGAUCUGGGCGACGACACGGCCACGCUGCCGCUCUGCAUUUUCGGGGUGUGUGGCCUGCUGGCGGGCGGCAUGACGGCCUUCCUGCCGGAGACGAGUGGACGCGACCUGCCCACCACGGUCGCCGAGGCGGCUGACUUCGGACGCGACCAGGCGUGGCUGCCGAUCCCGUGUCUGGUGGCCCGGCGACGCCGACGG